rnacentral:rRNA from 1 species
UAGGAAAUUGCCCUGAUGUGGGGGAUAACCAUUGGAAACGAUGGCUAAUACCGCAUGAUGCCUACGGGCCAAAGAGGGGGACCUUCGGGCCUCUCGCGUCAGGAUAUGCCUAGGUGGGAUUAGCUAGUUGGUGAGGUAAGGGCUCACCAAGGCGACGAUCCCUAGCUGGUCUGAGAGGAUGAUCAGCCACACUGGAACUGAGACACGGUCCAGACUCCUACGGGAGGCAGCAGUGGGGAAUAUUGCACAAUGGGCGCAAGCCUGAUGCAGCCAUGCCGCGUGUGUGAAGAAGGCCUUCGGGUUGUAAAGCACUUUCAGUCGUGAGGAAGGUAGUGUAGUUAAUAGCUGCAUUAUUUGACGUUAGCGACAGAAGAAGCACCGGCUAACUCCGUGCCAGCAGCCGCGGUAAUACGGAGGGUGCGAGCGUUAAUCGGAAUUACUGGGCGUAAAGCGCAUGCAGGUGGUUUGUUAAGUCAGAUGUGAAAGCCCGGGGCUCAACCUCGGAAUUGCAUUUGAAACUGGCAGACUAGAGUACUGUAGAGGGGGGUAGAAUUUCAGGUGUAGCGGUGAAAUGCGUAGAGAUCUGAAGGAAUACCGGUGGCGAAGGCGGCCCCCUGGACAGAUACUGACACUCAGAUGCGAAAGCGUGGGGAGCAAACAGGAUUAGAUACCCUGGUAGUCCACGCCGUAAACGAUGUCUACUUGGAGGUUGUGGCCUUGAGCCGUGGCUUUCGGAGCUAACGCGUUAAGUAGACCGCCUGGGGAGUACGGUCGCAAGAUUAAAACUCAAAUGAAUUGACGGGGGCCCGCACAAGCGGUGGAGCAUGUGGUUUAAUUCGAUGCAACGCGAAGAACCUUACCUACUCUUGACAUCCAGAGAACUUUCCAGAGAUGGAUUGGUGCCUUCGGGAACUCUGAGACAGGUGCUGCAUGGCUGUCGUCAGCUCGUGUUGUGAAAUGUUGGGUUAAGUCCCGCAACGAGCGCAACCCUUAUCCUUGUUUGCCAGCGAGUAAUGUCGGGAACUCCAGGGAGACUGCCGGUGAUAAACCGGAGGAAGGUGGGGACGACGUCAAGUCAUCAUGGCCCUUACGAGUAGGGCUACACACGUGCUACAAUGGCGCAUACAGAGGGCGGCCAACUUGCGAAAGUGAGCGAAUCCCAAAAAGUGCGUCGUAGUCCGGAUUGGAGUCUGCAACUCGACUCCAUGAAGUCGGAAUCGCUAGUAAUCGUGGAUCAGAAUGCCACGGUGAAUACGUUCCCGGGCCUUGUACACACCGCCCGUCACACCAUGGGAGUGGGCUGCAAAAGAAGUAGGUAGUUUAACCUUCGGGGGGACGCUUACCACUUUGUGGUUCAUGACUGGGGUGAAGUCGUAACAAGGUAGCGCUAGGGGAACCUGGCGCUGGAU